rnacentral:rRNA from 1 species
GCUACCUGCAGUCGGACGGUAGCACAGAGGAGCUUGCUCCUCGGGUGACGAGUGGCGGACGGGUGAGUAAUGUCUGGGGAUCUGCCCGAUAGAGGGGGAUAACCACUGGAAACGGUGGCUAAUACCGCAUAACGUCGCAAGACCAAAGAGGGGGACCUUCGGGCCUCUCACUAUCGGAUGAACCCAGAUGGGAUUAGCUAGUAGGCGGGGUAAUGGCCCACCUAGGCGACGAUCCCUAGCUGGUCUGAGAGGAUGACCAGCCACACUGGAACUGAGACACGGUCCAGACUCCUACGGGAGGCAGCAGUGGGGAAUAUUGCACAAUGGGCGCAAGCCUGAUGCAGCCAUGCCGCGUGUAUGAAGAAGGCCUUCGGGUUGUAAAGUACUUUCAGCGGGGAGGAAGGCGGUGACGU